ACGCCCCGCCGCCGCCCUCCUGAUGCUUCCAGUGAUGGCUCUGGGCUUUUUCCUAGGGAUUCGACGUCAUUCUGGAUCCACAUUUAUUAGAACGGGUGCUUUUGGGCACGGCUCUUUCUACACCCAAGAGCUCGUUUUGGGCGGGGCCUCCCCGGUCGGGUCCUCCAGCUCCAGACUCCAGGGAGUGAGCUGCCAGUCCGGAUGACAUUAGGUAGGUUUGUACAGCGGCCUUCUGAUGAUCUUGAUGUGGUGUAAACCUUUGCAUUUCAAAAGUAAGCUCACGUUUGAGGAGACUUAACAAUUCCUGUUUUUUCUGAUUCUGGGGAAGAUAUGGAGAGACUCACGAGGAUAAAUCUACCUUCUUAUUUUCCUUCCUUAAUGUCCUUCUGCAGCCCAUUAGAGUGAAGGACUCAGUCUGCUAAUAGUAAUCAAAUUGAAGAAACGUUUCUACUACCUUAAAAGGUAUCUUCAAACUACCCAAUGGGAUUUUCACAUAGUAAAUCUGCUACUCAGGUAUCUGCCAUGAGAAUGAAUUCAAAAGUGGAUGAUCACUUAAUGCAAGGGACUGAGAAAAGCAGUUUGGAACCAGUCACUCAGUUAUUUCAAAAUACCAAGAAAAUAAGAUUAGAAGACACAAACCAAGAGAACUUUACAAAAAUUGAAGAGACUGGCACAGGCUCUCUUUCAGAAAAAGCUCUGGGUUCAGUGGUAUAUGUUAAAGAAAGUGAUGGAAUAGAAAUGACAGAUAUGGAAUGAAGAAACCAAAAAUUGCUUUCAAUUAAGAGGUGUUUAUUGAGACCUGAACUGCAUUAGGAACACCUAACAAAAAUGAAGUAAGAUAUGUUUUAUUUUUCACUAUUUAUGAAUCAUCUUAAACUGUAUCUUUUGAUGGUGCAUAUUGAAAAGGCAGUCAGGUUAGGGAGAAAAAGCCUUUCAAAAUUCAAAGCAGAUUUCUCUAGGAUUAUAUUCAAACCUUGAUAAAAACGACAGUAUUUGAAUGACACCAAAACGUUUUAUUGUAAUUGUAAAGAAUUUCUUUAAUGAGUGGUUUAAAAAUGAAGUGUCCCAGCAAUUUGUCAUCAGUAUUUCAUGCUAUUUCUGGUGUACCACUUCUGUAUGUUGCAUUUCCAGUUUUGGAUUUUGCUUUACGAUAGUUUACCUUCCUAUAUUUUUCAUUUCUGUUCCGUGAAAGAUCACUACAGAUAAACUUGGCAAAAGACCAAUAAGCUGCAUAUCUUCAGAAGUGUUUCACAUUUUAAAUCUUUUUUUUAAAACGUUUCUCCCCAUAUUUAAUCUAUUUCAGAGUUAGAAAAUACUUCUUAGUUUAAUGGUUUAUCUUGCAUAAGCUACCAUUUUAUACCAUCAAUACUUAGUAAAAGUAAUCCAGUGUUGUUGUUGAUUUUUUAAGCAGAGGCAAAGUUUAUUUGAAAAACUAAAAAUGAAGAGUGAGAGAGAAAUGCUCUGUGAAGCAAGCUCGGCCCGAUUAAACGAGGAAAAAGCAAGACAAAAGAACACCCUGGAGAAAGCAGGGUGGGCUAUCACCUAGCCAUGUUUUGGUUUGUAUUUUUAAACACAGCUGUUUUAUAUCAGCUAUUAAACUAUCUAGCUCUGUGAAACAGCAGUAUCAACUAAUGUAAUGUUAGAUGAAAUUAACACCUUUUUUAGGAAGUGACCUGUAACUAUUUAUAUUGUAUAUGGUUGUUUGUUUCUUUUUUGGUGCUAGAGAUUGAACCAGGGCCUCACCCAUGAUAAACACAUGCUAUACCACUGAGCUAUACCCAUAUUACAUAUGUUUUGAACAUAUUCCUCAACUUGAAUACUUAAUCACUCCUAAUACCCAAUUGCAUAAUCACCUUAAUAUGCAUUACAAAAGAGGAAAAGGCAUCUUUAAGGGGAAACAAUGUUCUAUAAAUCAGACAAAAACUAAACAAAUAUAUUUAUAGGAAUAUUGAUCUUGGAAUUUAAAAAAAUGAAAUUGUUAAAUGAGACCAUGCUUUUUGCCAUUUGCAGACCAUAUUUCUUUGGAAAAGAAAAAAAAACAUAAAUCAUUCAUUGUUCACCUAGCCUGGCACUGUGCUGGUACUGGAGAUAUAGCAGUGAGUAAAAGCCACUGCCUUAACAGGGUGUUCUGUCUACAAAGGAAGACAGGGUGCUAUACAAUGAUGAUAUAGGAUCUAAACUGUAAUGCGCUAUGAAGAAAAAGUAAAGCCUUCAAAGAAACAAGACAGGAGGCAUAACAUAUAAAGUUGAUUUUAAUCGUGGGAAUGAGAAAGGUUUCUCUGAGGAGGUGACAUUUGUAACUUUGCAUCACAUGGUUGUCCAAGUGGAUGAUGAUGAUGAUGGCCAUCCGGGGGAGAGAUGGGGGGUUUUUGAUUUUUAAAAAAGGCCAGGUUCAUGGUGGUUUCCUGGGCCAAUGAGUGAGCUCAGAAAGAUAGUUUUUAAACAUACCAGAUUUUUAAGGUAAUUGUAUGUAUAGAACUAAAAAUAGAAUUUUUAAAUGGAUAAAAAAUGGUAUUUAAAUCCAUAAGAAUAAAUGAAAUUGCUUAAGAGGACUAUAUAUUGAUAGCUAAAGAUCUGAUGAACUCCAACAUUUAGGGGCUGAUCAGAGUAGGGACAGCUGUCAAAGGCAGCUGAGUAUGGAGGAAAGUCAAGAUGUGAACAUGAAGCUUGCCCAUAGGAGUCUUUGCAGGCAGAGACAGUCAGCUGAACAGUUAGAUGACUGAAAAGUCCAUUGGAUCUAGCAACGUGAAUGCCACCAGUGAUACUAGCACUUUUGCUGGAAUAAUGAAGCAAAAGCCAUCUUGGAGAAGGUUGAUUGUGAAGAAGGAAAUAGAUACUGGAUGUGUGGCAGUUUACAAGAAGCUUUGCUUUCAAGAGGAGUAUACAGGAUGAAAGCUGGAAGGAGCAAUUCACUGGAGGGCUGUGAAGCAGGUGUCAUUGGAAAGGUUCCAGUGGAAAAACUGAAGAAGUAGGAGAGGGGCAACAAUAACCAAGGGACAAAAAGAGCAAGGAAUAGAGUCAGAUUCUCUAAAACCACCUCAGAUGGAAAUUACAAAGAAAAAAAGUAAAUGGCACCACCUCAGAUUUCACAGAAAUGAAAUUUAGCAGGAUAUAAAUUAAAAAAUAAUAUUGUGGGGCCAUUUUAAUAACUAGGAAAAAUUCUUAUUGUGACUAACUUAACAAAAUCCAUUCCAUCCAAAUAAAAAGACUCAGAGUGACCUUGGUCACAAGUAUAAUAAAUAAAUAAAUGAGUCACUGUG